GACGAACGCUGGCGGCGUGCUUAACACAUGCAAGUGGAGCGACGAACCAGGGCUUGCCCUGGGGCAGAGCCGCGAACGGGUGAGUAACACGUGGGUAACGUACCCGAUGACUGGGACAACCCGGGGAAACCCGGGCUAAUACCGGAUGUCCACCCUCACAUCAGUGAGGUGUGUAAAGGAAGCUUCGGCCUCCGCGUUGGGAUCGGCCCGCGGCGCAUUAGCUUGUUGGUGAGGUAACGGCUCACCAAGGCCGCGAUGCGUAGCUGGUCUGAGAGGACGAUCAGCCACACUGGGACUGAGACACGGCCCAGACUCCUACGGGAGGCAGCAGUGGGGAAUCUUGCGCAAUGCGCGAAAGCGUGACGCAGCAACGCCGCGUGGGGGAAGAAGGCCU
rnacentral:rRNA from 1 species